rnacentral:rRNA from 1 species
GAUGAACGCUGGCGGCGUGCCUAACACAUGCAAGUCGAGCGCGGUCCCCUUGGUGCUUGCACCAAAGACGACUGGGCGGCGGACGGGUGAGUAACGCGUGGGUAACCUGCCCUGUACAUAUGGAUAACAUGCUGAAAAGCAUACUAAUACAUAAUAACGUACAUUGAAGGCAUCUUCAGUGUAUCAAAGCGUUAGCGGUACAGGAUGGACCCGCGUCUGAUUAGCUAGUUGGUGGGGUAAAAGCCUACCAAGGCAAUGAUGGGUAGCCGGCCUGAGAGGGUGAACGGCCACAUUGGAACUGAGACACGGCCCAA